GUGUCAGCCGCCGCGGUAAUACAUAGGGUGCAAGCGUUGUCCGGAUUUAUUGGGCGUAAAGAGUUCGUAGGCGGUUUAUCGCGUCGGGUGUGAAAACUCAGGGCUUAACCCUGAGCCUGCACUCGAUACGGGUUUACUUGAGGACGGCAGGGGAGACUGGAACUCCUGGUGUAGCGGUGGAAUGCGCAGAUAUCAGGAAGAACACCAAUGGCGAAGGCAGGUCUCUGGGCCGAUUCUGACGCUGAGGAACGAAAGCGUGGGGAGCAAACAGGAUUAGAUACCCUGGUAGUCCACGCCGUAAACGGUGGAUGCUAGGUGUGGGAAACAUUAACGUUUUCUGCGCCGCAGCUAACGCAUUAAGCAUCCCGCCUGGGGAGUACGGCCGCAAGGCUAAA
rnacentral:rRNA from 1 species